GUAAACACGGCUGUCAAAGCAGAAGUGAGAGCGACUUGACGCCAAGAGAGAGGGAGACCCCAAAGCGGCCGCUGCCUCAGGAGGCCGUAGUCCUGGGCGCCGUCAGCCUUCCCUGAGGGCUUCGAUUGGCCCCCUCAGGGCUGCGCACUGGCCUCUUGCUACCCGCCUCACGGACCCGGUCUUGCAGCGCGUCGCCGACCCAGUUGCCUUGCUGCCAGAAUGAGCUGAGGUCUGAAAAUUGCUCAGCAGGACCAGGCAUAGCAGGGACCUCUCCUUUCAUGGUUUCACUUGCCAAUGACCACUGUCUUGAUAACUUUUUUGGAAGAAGAUGCCAUAGUUCAAGAAAACUUGCUAUACUAGGAAAAAAACAAGUGAACGCUAACCAAGAGCUUCUGCCUAUCUGAUUAAAAAAUGAGUACUCUAGGAGUUUUUCCAGUAGUCAUGUAUGGA